GACUAUGUGAAAUUAUGAGGAGAAGAAGCAUUUCUGCCAAGUGCCAACACGUUUUAAACACUGAAGCAAGAUAGGCUCUAAUUUGCCUUAAGACUCAAUAUUUUUUAUUCAGCAGGCAGGAAGUGAGGAUGUCAGCCAGGAAAAAAGGAAUGACUGGAUAUGAAAAACAUACUGGCCAAUGUCAAACUAGACCAAAGCAUUCUUUGAGUUUUGCCAACUUCAUGAGUUUUGAGUUUUGACUUUACUAAAACUCAUGAGAAUGACUUUACUCAAUUUCAGUACUAGCCAAGGACUCCAGGUAUCAGAGGUGAGAGAAAUGAAAUAUGAAGUGAGACUAUAUGUAAUAUAAACAGAAAAUUCUUUUUUUUUUUCUUUUGAGAUGGAAUCUCGCUUGUUGCCCAGGAUGGAGUGCAGUGGUGCCAUCUUGGCUCACUACAACCUCUGUCUCCCGGGUUCAAGUGAUUCUUCUGCCUCAGCCUCCUGAGUAGCUGGGACUACAGAUGCCUGCCACCAUGCCCAGCUAAUUUUUGUAUUUUUAGUAGAGAUGGGGUUUCACCACGUUGGCCAGGCAGGUCUUGAACUCCUGACCUCGUGAUCCACCUGCCUUGGCCUCCCAAAGUGCUGGGAUUACAGGCAUGAGCCACCGCGCCCAGCAGAAAAUUCUUUAGUUCAGCAUCAAAGCAGGAAUUAUUACAGCAUUUAUGGAUAUUUAAUUUUAUUUGAUACACUUGGAUGCAACUUUACUCAUUACCAUUUUUAAACCCAUGUUUAAAAGUUUUAAAAUUUGGGUAGAGGCAGAAAGAGGAGGUUGAGUUGGAGAUGCUGGGGUAGUCAGCAGCUCAGUCAUCGGUGCUUGUGGGCUUUUUUUGAUCCGGGCCUUGACUCUCUCUGGAAUGGGAGGCUUCGACGUCAAGAAGGAGCUGCUGCCACCCGUAGUUCUGAGCUUGAAGUUGCUAGGACUUCUUUCAAACUUGUAUGCUGAAGAGACUCAGAUGUUGGCCUCAGCUCCUAGGCUGAAUUCAGCAGAUCGGCCCAUGAAAAACCCUAUAUUGAGACAAAGCAAAGGAUCUGUCAGAAAGCAACACCUGUUGUCCUGGGCUUGACACCAAGGAAGAGGACAGGUAGUGGAAAUCCUGCAAUCUGAAAAGCAGACAGAAAGGUGACAAAGCAGCUGAAGAUAGGUGGUGGAGAGAGGAAUAACAACCCAGCUCCUCCAUCUAGAAAGGAGAGUAAGAACUACCAGUAGCUUAAUAGAAGACCAAGGAUCAGAAUUCCCCGAUGAAGACUGUUUGUAAGAAGAAAGAGGACAGGGUUAUAACUCAUCAGCAACUGCCUGGCAAGCCAUGCAAGAUAAGGGGACUAACAAAACUUUUCCAAAUAAUCAAAUUGGAGCUCUAGUUUAUCAAGUCCCAGCUUACUCUAAGAUCUAAAGUUAUGGCCGGGUGCAGUGGCUCACAACUGUAAUCCCAGCACUUUGGGAGGCUGAAGCGGGUGGAUCACCUGAGGUCAGGAGUUCAAGACCAGCCUGGCCAACAUGGUGAAACCUUGUCUCUACUAAAAGUACAAAAAAAUUAGCUGGGCAUGGUCGUGGGCAACUGUAAUCCCAGCUACUCGGAAGGCUGAGGCAGGAGAAUCGCUUGAACCCGGGAGGCAGAGGUUGCAGUGAGCCAAGAUCACACCAUUGCACUCCAGCCUGGGCAACAAGAAAGAAACUCUACCUCAAAAAAAAAAAAACAAAAAAAACUUAAAAUCUGAAGCUAACCAGAAUGAUGCCAGAGCCAAAUGCAGUCAGCUGCCAUCACCAAGUAUUCUUCCCUCACCACCAAACCACUGGGUUCCUGAUAUGGUUUGGAUCUGUGUCCCCGCCCAAAUAUCAUGUAGAAUUGUAAACACCAAUGUUGGAGGUGGGACCUGCUGGGAGGUGAUUGGAUCAUGGGGGCGGAUUUCCUUCUUGGUGCUGUUCUUGUGAUAGCGAGUGAGUUCUCAUGAGAUAUGGUUGUUUAAAAGUGUGUGGCAUCUCCUCGCCUUUCUCCUGCUCCUGUCAUGUGAAGUGCUUGCUCUCCCUUUGCCUUCCAACACGAUUGUAAGUUCCCUCCCCAGAGGCCUUCCCAGAAGCUGAUGCCACCAUGCUUCCCAUACAGCCUGCGGAACUGUGAGCCAAUUAAACCUCUUUUCUUUAUAAAUUACCCAGUCUCAGGUAUUUCUUUAUGGCAAUACAAAAAUGGACUAAUAUACUUCCUAUUGCCUUUACUCCUUUAGAUAAGAAAAUAAAGACAUUUGAACGUAAAAUCUAAAGUGCAGAUAUAGGCCAGGCGCAGUGGCUCAUGCCUGUAAUCCCAGCACUUUGAGAGGUC
rnacentral:lncRNA from 1 species